ensembl:snRNA U2 U2 spliceosomal RNA
AUCGCUUCUCGGCCUUUUGGCUAAGAUCAAGUGUAGUAUCUGUUCUUAUCAGUUAAAUAUCUGAUACAUCCUUUAUCCAAUUUUCAUUUAUUAGCUUGGCAACUUUUAAAGUAAUCAUACCAAUUGCUGACAGGAGUAAAUCUGUUGUAACAAUCUACAGAGUAAUUUAAUGUUAUCUAGUAAGGUUGCUCAGAG